rnacentral:rRNA from 1 species
CUACGGGCGGCUGCAGUGGGGAAUAUUGGACAAUGGGGGAAACCCUGAUCCAGCAAUGCCGCGUGUGUGAAGAAGGCCUGCGGGUUGUAAAGCACUUUCGGUUGGGAGGACUGCUUCUAGCACUAAUAUUGUUGGAAGUUGACGUUACCUCCAGAAGAAGCACCGGCUAACUCCGUGCCAGCAGCCGCGGUAAUACGGAGGGUGCAAGCGUGAAUCGGAAUUACUGGGCGUAAAGCGCGCGUAGGCGGCUAGAUCAGUCGGGUGUGAAAGCCCCGGGCUUAACCUGGGAACUGCAUCCGAUACUGUCUAGCUUGAGUACAGGAGAGGAGAGUGGAAUUCCACAUGUAGCGGUGAAAUGCGUAGAUAUGUGGAGGAACACCAAUGGCGAAGGCAGCUCUCUGGCCUGAUACUGACGCUGAGGUGCGAAAGCGCGGGGAGCAAACAGGAUUAGAUACCCCCGUAGUC